UAGGGUUCCCAAGCUGCCCAUUUUUUUUUUUAAACUGUUCCCCAAACACCCAUCCAAUAAGAAAGGUCUACUUUGUAGCUCAAAGCUAUUAGAGUUGUGCUCGCGUCUUGGUUUUACUGUUUUAGUUACCCCAUCGAUGGUCUAGAAUAUGCGAGGUGACUCUCAUGGAGGUAAAGAAGACAGAAACAGGUUUUGAAAGAGAGCCAAGUGUGUGUUUAUGGUAGAAAGAGCAAAGUAGACGAAAGGUGUACCUUUUUGACUUCUUGUCACUGAUUCUCUCUCACUCAUC